AUUGAACGCUGGCGGCAGGCCUAACACAUGCAAGUCGAACGGUAACAGAAAGCAGCUUGCUGCUUUGCUGACGAGUGGCGGACGGGUGCGUAAUGUCUGGGAAACUGCCUGAUGGAGGGGGAUAACUACUGGAAACGGUAGCUAAUACCGCAUAACGUCGCAAGACCAAAGAGGGGGACCUUCGGGCCUCUUGCCAUCGGAUGUGCCCAGAUGGGAUUAGCUAGUAGGUGGGGUAACGGCUCACCUAGGCGACGAUCCCUAGCUGGUCUGAGAGGAUGACCAGCCACACUGGAACUGAGACACGGUCCAGACUCCUACGGGAGGCAGCAGUGGGGAAUAUUGCACAAUGGGCGCAAGCCUGAUGCAGCCAUGCCGCGUGUAUGAAGAAGGCCUUCGGGUUGUAAAGUACUUUCAGCGGGGAGGAAGGGAGUAAAGUUAAUACCUUUGCUCAUUGACGUUACCCGCAGAAGAAGCACCGGCUAACUCCGUG
rnacentral:rRNA from 1 species